AAACACGAGUCCAACACAAAAUGAGCAUUUCAGUCUGAGCGUUGGCUUCGGUCCGAGACUCGGUCACUCGAGGGAUCGCUCCUCCCUGCAGAUUCUGUGACGAUGGCACUUGCUCGACUACUCUCGAGACGUCGAUGGCGGAUUUCGGCGUAUCCAACAGCUUUGGAACAGAGCGCGAAGGCUGCCCCGAGGUUCGUGACCACCUCUGUAGUGGACAAAGCGAGGAGAGUACCAGCAACUCAGCCUUCGAUCGAAGGAAUCAAGGAUAUCAUAGCCGUUGCAUCUGGAAAAGGCGGUGUUGGGAAAUCGACGACUGCAGUUAACUUGGCUGUUGCACUGGGAAGAAGGUGCGGGUUGAAAGUGGGAUUGCUCGACGCUGAUAUCUAUGGGCCGUCUAUCCCUACCAUGAUGAAACUCCAAGGAAAGCCUGAAGUGAGCCAGGAUUUGAAGAUGGUGCCUAUGGAAAACUAUGGAGUGAAAUGCAUGUCCAUUGGGUUUCUUGUUGACAAGGAUUCUCCAAUUGUGUGGAGAGGUCCUAUGGUAAUGAGUGCUCUUGAAAAGUUGACUAGGGGAGUCACGUGGGGAGAACUUGAUAUUCUGGUGGUUGACAUGCCACCCGGCACUGGUGAUGCUCAGUUGUCUAUUUCACAGAGGCUGCAAUUGACAGGUGCCUUGAUUGUUUCAACUCCUCAAGACAUUGCACUACUGGAUGCUCGGAGAGGGGCGAAUAUGUUUCGUAAAGUUGAAGUCCCUAUAUUGGGACUGAUAGAGAACAUGAGCUGCUUUAAAUGUCCUUAUUGUGGUCAACAUUCUCAUAUAUUUGGCCAUGGAGGUGCACUUAGAACUGCUAAUGAGAUGAACAUGGAGUUCCUUGGAGAGAUACCUCUGGAGUUAGAAAUUAGAAGAACAUCCGAUGAAGGAAGCCCAAUAGUUAUCUCAGCACCUAAUUCUGCUGUUUCAGAAGCAUACAAUGACAUAGCCAGCAAAAUUAUGAAGAGGCUGCAAAAGUUGGGAAAAGCAAAUCAAAUGCAUCCAGAGAUUCUGUUAUGAAAAUUCCUGUCCGAGCUAAACUCUCCUUUUGCUGGUGAAGGUGAAAUGUUCCAAUAUCAAAUAACUUAGAAGACUCCUAUUUAGAAGGAUGAAGUUUGCCUGCGAGAGGGGAAAGCAGGUCAGAUGCCUGACCAGGUCUCGUAAUGUUUUCAGGCGAGGAGCAAUCGCAAGAAAUGGUCGAUUCAUCUGUGCAAUUUCUGAGAGGUCCAGCCUUGUAUCUAGAUUUUGAUCCAGCAUUAGGAGUGAAUUCCGUCAAACUUGGCCAAUUUCUUUUUCUUUUUUUUCCUUGAGAGUGUUUUCCCGGCCUCGGUUUUACCCCAUGUCAGAUACCUGCUUUUUCUGGAUCAAACAGACCAGAACGAAGCUCUCAUUUUAAUAGGCUAUCAUAAUGCUCAGCCACGAGCCUGAUGUAGACAGAGUUCAGCGUUGGUAAAGCCCGCCCCCAACAUUCAUUCCCUAGAAAAUGCUACUCUUUUAGAUCUCUCAUGCAUAAUGCAUUUGAUCCAUCA